UGUUAGUUUAUGAUGAAUUCAUAGUUCAGAUGAAUUUAUGAUUACACUUGAUAUUUAGUCUUUCACCCCUAACUGAUCAACUAUUG